UUUAUGUUUUUAACUGGGGUUAUUUAACUGGAGUUAUUAUAACCCCUGGAAACAUAAACACUUACGAGGGUUUUAAUAACCCUUAUUAAAUUAUAGGGGUUUGAUUUCAAACCCCAGGAAAGUGCCAAGUGUUUUUUAGAAACCCAAUUAAUUAAAAUUUUAAUUUUUUUAUUUCCCUCCAAUUAUUUCCUUUCCCUCUUAAUUUCUUGGAGUAUACAGAGACUAAUUUUUAGUUUUCUUUUUCUUUUUCACAAGCAAAAAUUAAAAUUGCAAUUACGAGGCUUUUAUUUGAUAAGGAAUUCGAGUUUGGUGAAGGGCUUGUCUGGAUUUUUCUUUUUCAUAACCCUAGACGCGCAUCUUAAACCUUUCCUUGAGGCACUUCUUGCCCUUGAGAUCGACGUCAAGCGUGUAGCGUGUAGCGCCUAGCAUCUUGGGCCUUUCCAUUUGUGCUGAUGAUGGCUUUCACAACCUGAAGGAGAUUAGAAUCGUGGAAAUCGUGAAACCAGUUGGUUGGGUUUAUAUAUCGUUGGCUGGAUUCGAUCGUCGGAAAAAAUUAUUCACAGGAACUAAAGGUGGGGCACGCCAAAGCUAGGACUGGAACUCACCAAUAGUAGAGUUGCAAUUUGCAUCACUAUAGUAUGUAACCUUGCUUGGUCAUGUUGCACCAGUGCAUUGUGUA